CCUGGCGGCCUUAGCGCGGUGGUCCCACCUGACCCCAUGCCGAACUCAGAAGUGAAACCCCGUAGCGCCGAUGGUAGUGUGGGGUCUCCCCAUGCGAGAGUAGGGAACUGCCAGGC
rnacentral:rRNA from 1 species